rnacentral:rRNA from 1 species
GCUAAAACUUAGACUAACACGAACAUACAGAUUUUAGCCAAACAAAACAUUUGACCAACCAAGUAGAUGUGAUCGAACAGUAAAUAACCACAUAGUACCGCAAGGGAAACAAUU